ensembl:lncRNA
GUCCAGUAAGUGGCGCUAAUGCACCAUAAGAAGAAGAAGAAGAAGAAGAAGAAGAAGAAGACCACCGCAUUCUGUUUGACAGCGUCGCCGGGAAGUGCAGGUGGCACAAAAGUUCCCGCAACAAUUUGAAAAUAGGAUAAAACAAAGGAUACCAGAAGCAUCCAGUUAUUGUUUCGUGAUUCAGAAAGUGUUUAAUAUCUGGAGCAGGGUCACUGAUACUCGCACUACGAGACUAAACACUGCAAGUAGCAACAGGCCCAUUGUUGAGAUAACACCAUGAAGUUGGUUUUAAGCACAGGAGUCCUUCUGAUUGUUCACCUGUUAAUCCUGCAGUGCCAGGGUUUUACCGUCAGAUACAUCUUAGUUAAUGAACCUGUGACCUUCCCAUGUAUCUGCUCUGGAAACCAACCAGUGGUUCUGUGGAUCCGCUUCAUUCCCAGUAGUGCUGUCAUUGCCAAGUGUGACAGCCAGACAUGUUGGAUUGAACAGUAUUUUCAGAAAAGGUUUGCAGUAUCAGGAGAUACCAGCAGCGGAAAUUACUCCAUAAGUAUCAGUUCAGUCGUCUACACUGAUGCCGGUUCCUACAGGUGCAGCUGUGAUGGACAUUCAGUUACUGAAGAAAAGCUUCAGGUGUAUGGUAAGUGUACCAUGAGUAAGUCUUAUUACCACGAUGGAAAUAACGUGACUCUGAACAUGUCUGUAGUAAAGUCUAUCCAGCCUGACUGGGACAGGUCUAGCUCUUACUGAAAAUCAAAGUAGAAGGCUAAAAAGAACAUGACAUUUGUUUUUGUCUGACAGUUCCAACAGAUGUUAAGCCUUUUGAGGGGGAGAAUGUCACCCUCCCCUGCUACGGAGACACUUGGCAAGGUGUUAAAGAUAUAAAAUGGAAGAAAGCUGGACGAACACUUCUGCUGUACUCAGGAAAAUAGAUCGGUGACUACUGAGGAAGCAUCACCAGGCAGAUUUAUGAUGUCAGCAGAAGGCUUCCUAGAUGGUGAUCUGUCCCUUCACAUCAGUUCAGUUCACCGGUCUGAUGCAAGAUUUUAUCAGUGUCUCAUCCAUGAUGAAUCUCAGGAAGGAGAACCACGAGCUGUUUCACUGAAAGAAGGUAAAUUCAUCCCUUAUUCAAACACUGUACUUGUACUGUUUGUACUGGUGUAGAGUCAGUCUCCAUUCAUGUCAAGACUAAACUGACACCUAAAUCCUUAUUAGUGUUCACAGUUUCUCAGUCUACAGCUUUCCUAAUAAUCAAAUUAUUUAACAGGGCUACAACUAUUAACCAACAACUGCAAUGAAGUUCCUGUACAGGUCACACUCUUUGGAUUAGUCCUUGAAAGCAUCAUUGGAGCGAGCGUCUACGUCGUGAAAAGACGUAGACCUCCUGCACAAUAAUCCAGAUGAUCAAAGCUUUCUUCAACCCAGCCAGUCCAGGAACAGUUUAUAGGGAGAUCAAUAGAUCGGGUACACCGCUGUCCUAAAAUGCUUUUAUCUAGAAAAGAAGCUGCUGAAUCAAAAUGUGAAACAUUUCCUUUAUUCUGUGCAAAUCUAUAGUACAUCAGCAUGGUGCAAUAGCAUUUGAAUUGCUCUUAAAUGCAGUAGGAUAAGGUUGUUAUAUUUUUUGAUAAAUAUAUAUUUUUUAAAAAGUUGACUUUUUACAAGUACCUUGAGUCUAAAUGGUUCAUUACAUAGAUCCUUUGAGUCAUAUACCAACCUGAAUAUCAGCUUAUUUCACAGUUUCAACACAAGAGAAUUCAAAAGGCUCUAUUACAGUCUACAUCCAGCAAUUUAAGAUAUACACCCAUCAUAAAUGUACUCAUCAUAUAAAGUCAAUAUAUGGGCAUGGAUAUGUACAAAAAUGAAAACCCCUAACUUGACUGGAUAUCACCAGGCUACUGAAUCUAAUCCAGUGGUUUUCAAACCAGGGGUCCUCACCAAUUUGGUGUGAAAGAUAAAUUCUCACUCAAGACAACCACCCACCCCUAAUGUAAAUGAUGUGAGAUGAUUAUAUCCCCUUUUUUAAAUUAAUAUUCCAAAAAUCUGUAUUUUUAAUGUGUUUUAAAGACAUCUUGCAAAAGGAGGGCCUCAGUCAAAUGUUAAUGCCAUUAACAUUUGACUGAAGGGGGCCUUGCACUGGAAAAAUUUGGGAACCCCUGAUCUAAUCAAUCAUGCCUACAGCUACAGUAGCCACAGUUGAAACAACUGCAUCGGCUACAGCUACAGUAGCCACAGUUGAAACAACUGCGGCUACAGCUACAGUAGCCACAGUUGAAACAACUGCGGCUACAGCUACAGUAGCCACAGUUGAAACAACUGCGGCUACAGCUACAGUAGCCACAGUUGAAACAACUGCAUCACUUCCACAGGUGUUUGCAUUUUUGAAUGAUGUUCCAUCCUUCCCCAGACUAGAUCUUCAUCCGGGCACAGCUAAACUCCAUAAGAUAUAUGCAGCUGGAGGAAGAUUUUAAAUGGACAAAAUUGAGACAAUUUGGAGAACUUUGAGAAAAUGAGAAAACGGCAUGGUCACUGCUGCAGUUUAUAAGGAAACUACACUGUUUCCAACUGGUGAUGGCAUGCCAGCAAAUUGGAUUUUAACAGCCUCAUUUACGACUUCAGUCAGAAAAACAAGGCCUGUGUGUGCACACAUGCAGUGUAACAUUCCUGGAACACCUUCACACCCCCGGGGGUCAAGCAGGGUGGCCACCUUAAAUCCACCAAUGGUCACACUGCUAUCCCUCCCAUUAAUCUGACUGCAACUUGACCACCAAUCAACACCUCAGCUUGAAUGUUAUAGCAAUCCAUGAUAGCCCUGAAACAAAGAGAACAUAUUAGAACUCGAAUCUAGACAUUGUCAGUCAGAAUACUCAAUUCAGUGCAUCAGAAAUCUUUGGCUUAAAUUCUCAGACAGUCAACAUGGUCGAUCUGCCGGGGAAAAAACUGGUCAUCACAAAGGCACAAACAUGCACAAGACUAAACUGGCUACAGAGCAUAGAAACAUACCUUGGGCACCUCCCCUUGAGCCCAUUCAAAGAUGCUUCAUGCCAUGAUCUCUGAAAGUUUGAUGAAACACGUUUUAGAAAAUUGCAUGCAGCUAUUGUCCAAAGUACAUGUUCCAAAUGGUGCAUCAGAAAGUUUGGCUUAAAUAUAGAUCAGUCAACAGUGUCGAUCUGCUGGGGAAAAAAGCUUAGUCAUCCUUUACACCAUUACAGUCUACCACAGCACUGUAGAUAGGACAGCCACACAUUGUUAACUGCAGACAUGAAACUCACCAGUUUUACAACCUUAGGGGGGACGGGGGGACACACCCAAAAAAGUGUUGGAACACCCACCCACUGGGCCUCAGGAUCUAGAAGUAAGGACAAGAAAAACAAGUGUUCAGGACAUGUUCUUGGAAAUUAGUUAAACUUGUUUUUACACAAAAUUAUAAUGGCUGACAGUUUGGCUUAAUUUCUUUUUUUUUUUAAGAAGUCAACAGAGUCAAUCUGCUGGGGAAAAAAGUUUAGUCAUCAUUCAUGCCAUUAAUCUAAUGCAGCCCUGCAAGAUUAUAGCAGUUAAAAAGGAAAUAAACAAGUGAAACACACCAGUUUUGCAUCCUUAGAAAGAAAACCAAGUCCUGGAACCAUCUGGAUGUCAGCGGAGCUGCAGGUUCUAGAGAGGGGGAGGGGGAUGUUAUGACAUGUUCUCAGAGGACAGUUAAACUUGUAUUUGUACACAGUGAUCAUGGCUCAGACAGUUUGGCUUAAAAUAAAAUAAGUCAACAGAGUCGAUCUGCUGGGGAAAAAAGUUUAGUCAUCAGAGCCAUGUUUGAUGAAAAUCUAAACAAAGAUCAGCAGGGAAUCUCACCAUGAUGUUCCCAAAUACCAUGAUGGUGCAGGCCUCACUCACUUAAUGUAAGAAAGGAUUACACUUCAUGUACACAAGUGGAUGUGCAUCUUCAUGUCAUCUAAUUCACCUUUCUGCUGUUGGCUGAUCAUACCUGAAACACAGGUUAUUUUACUUAAAACAAAAGUAACCACAAGCUCAAUUUAAAGGAUUUAAAAAAAAAAAAAAAAAAAAAAGCACUACAUUUUAGUGAAAAACCUACAAUUUUCCAUUGGAGUGAAUGGGGCUCAGGUCUUCUGCAGAAAAAGGGCGCGAGUCCCACCUCCUACGCUGGUAAUAACCACGUGACCAAGAGCCGGAAGUGAGGCUCUUGGCCUGCAUUAUCCUUCACGUGAAGCCAGCAAGACACAUUGGUGCCUAAAAUAAAAAGAUCAAUAAUAGUACUUCAGUUUCCUAAUCUUAAUGCUAUUUAUGCAAGCCCUUGAUGUAAUUUCUCAUUUGGCUCAGUUCUAUUUCAAACUACAUUAAUGUAAAUUAGAAAUAAGGGGAAAACCUGCUUAGUAUUUAGAAUAUUUUUUUGAUGCUAAAGUAACUUUGUAAUUCGGAUAAAUACGACUUUUCUACACAAAUAAUCCUUUACAUUAACACACCAAACAAGGCAGUAAGCGCCACGUGGCGAACAGCUCCAGCCUUUAAACAACGUGUUCCUCCAAAACAGUAUUCCUCAAUCUAACACGCUUUAAACCAUCAUAAACUACACACUGCUUGAACGGCUGGAUAACCAGUACACAAUUUCAAUAAUCACACCCAACCAUACUCAAGACGAAUUUCAUAUCGGAACAUAUAAUAAAGAGCUCACCUCAAUGCUGCAAACGGACUGGGACGGUUACGCGCU